CCCGGUUUAUCUCUAUUAAUUUGUCCACCGCUUAUUGGUUUUUAUCAUAAACGUCCUGAACAACUAACAAGUAUUUAAGUAAUGGAAAAAAUCUAAUUCAGAAACAAUUAUUACGCUUAUCAAGCGUAAAUAGCAAAGUACAAUAUAUGUUUGAUGCGAUAAACGCAGGAAGCAAAACAUAUGAGCAGUAUUAUGAUUACAACAAGGACAAACGUGUCACCGUCAGUACCUGGUUACAAACGAUACGGUUAUUUAGUUUUCGCAUACUGUUUAUUCGUUUGCGGAUUCACAACAAUGAAGAUCCCGUUAAUCAUCACGCCACAAUUCCAGUGUUCCAAGGCCCCUGCAAGCCACCGUUGGAGUGUAUCUUGCGAUCUUUCGAAAAACGUAAAGUAACGAAUUCAUUUCAUAGUAAAUACGAGUUUGUUUCCAAAACUUCAGGAGUCCUCUGUAAACCACUAAAAAGAGAGUCUCACUCUUACGUCAUCAGCGCGUCAUUAGCGUCAUGUACUACAGCUCCCACACCCUCGCAGUUCAACAGAAGCUAUCUACAGCAGUCAAAUCACAGCAAACCAGCAUUGCAGCCUUAAAAUACAGUUCGUAGCAGACAUUGCUAACUUUCUCGUACUUACUAACACGACCAGAGGCGGCUUUACCUAUGGUGCAAGGUAUGCGUUGGUCAUGUUACUUUAACCUUUAGUAGAGGGUGCUAAGGUAAUGGUCACACAGUGGCUCUACGUGGGCUAGAGACGCCUUUGGGCACGACUUCCUAUCCCGGCGAAGAGUAAUGUAGCGCGGUACGAUCUUAGAAUAGAAUAAAUUUGCCAAAAACCGAACCUUCCAGAACAACUGCUUCUCUUUCGCCUCUUUACAUCUUUUUCAAUAUGUGUACUCAUGGACUCAUAGCUCAGUUCAUAUUAAAGGCUUGAAGGAUUGACCUUAGAGGAUUAACCCGAGAGGCGAGACAACUACAAUGUGGUCAUCCUGCAUACAAAACGCGCCAAUAUUUAUGAGUAGAAAGAGCAAGGUUCUAGCACUUAUGCGGACUCACCUAUGCAGGAAACGUCAAAAACGCAGAGCUUGGUUUUUUUCCGAGUACUGCACGAAUAAAUACAUAAA